AACGAACGCUGGCGGCAGGCUUAACACAUGCAAGUCGAACGCCCCGCAAGGGGAGUGGCAGACGGGUGAGUAACACGUGGGGAUCUGCCCAAUGGUACGGAAUAAUUCCGGGAAACUGGGACUAAUACCGUAUGUGCCCGCAAGGGGAAAGAUUUAUCGCCAUUGGAUGAACCCGCGGCGGAUUAGCUAGUUGGUGAGGUAAAGGCUCACCAAGGCGACGAUCCGUAGCUGGUCUGAGAGGAUGAUCAGCCACACUGGGACUGAGACACGGCCCAGACUCCUACGGGAGGCAGCAGUGGGGAAUAUUGGACAAUGGGCGCAAGCCUGAUCCAGCCAUGCCGCGUGAGUGAUGAAGGCCUUAGGGUUGUAAAGCUCUUUCGCCGACGAAGAUAAUGACGGUAGUCGGAGAAGAAGCCCCGGCUAACUUCGUGCCAGCAGCCGCCGUAA
rnacentral:rRNA from 1 species